AAUCCACUGCACCACCUAACUGACAUUAUGUGAUGAGGAUUAUUUGUCAUUUAACAGGAAAAACAUAGAAAUUAUUAAUAGAGAUGAAUGGACUAAAAGAGGAAAUGUGAUGCAAAAGAAAACACACUGGACAGGAUGUCAUGCGAAUUGAGUUUAUUUCUGUGGCUUCACUCUAUGUGACCUUGGAAAAUAUCCAGGAAAGGAGCCAACCUUUUCACUCACCACAUCAGUCCAAAGGAAGAAGUUUAAGGGUGUAAGAAUAGCCUCAUCAGAAACAGGGUCUUGGGUCCAGUCAGCAGAUUCUUGACUAGUCUCAACUUCAAUGAAUGAAGAACUCCCUUUCACAAGAAGUUCAACUCCAAGUAGAACUCCAAGUAAAAAACUACACU
rnacentral:lncRNA from 1 species